rnacentral:misc_RNA from 1 species
CAGAGAUAUGCCCUCCGGGGCAGACCUCCCACCCUGUAUAAUUUACUCUUGUUGCUUUGGCAGGCCGCCUUCGGGCCCCCGGCUCUUUGCUGGGGAGCGCCUGCCAGAGGACCCCAAACUCUGAAUAUUAGUGUCGUCUGAGUACUAUAUAAUAGUUA